AGCCGAUACCGAUGAUGAUGGGUCAAGUGAAGGAUGAGAAAGUUGAAUUGAAGGGGGUAGCUCAGGCGGAAGUUAGGGCUAGAGUGGCUAGCAAUUUGGGGCAGGAUGAGAAGGAUAUGAAAGGGAUCCUUUUGAGUCCUGAAAGUAUCGGGGUUGUUAAGAAAGAGGAGAGAAGUUUGCCAGGAGGUGGGGAGAAGGGUCCUAGGUUACCAAAAUCAACUCAAGAUGAAUUGGUUUCUAGAGCAAAUUCCAGAUCCCUAUUCACAGGCUCACCAAGCAUAGCUAGAUUAAAUUCAUGAGCUGGAUUUAAUUUGGGCUGUAUACUUGAGGGCGAUAAAAGUUGAUGUCUUAUUCAGGGGAUUGUACAAGUUUUGCUGAAACCAUUGCAGAAUUUGGGAUGAGCACUUAAGGGCGAUAAAGUCGAUGUGUUAAUCAAGGGAUUGUAUAAGUUAGCAGAGAUGUUACAUGAAGCCUGCGACAUGAGAUCUCUUCUGUAAUAUUUUAGAUGUAUAGCCCUUUAGGUUACGAAUAUUAUUGUUAUAUUUCCAAUAUUGUUCAAUAUUUCAUGGGUAGAUGAUGGUUAACUUAGCGGAGGAGAUAUCCGGGAGAUAUCUGUCGACAUAAUUGAGUAGUAUUUUUGUGUUUGAUGCCAAAAAUUUGGAAUAAAGGUUUUGUUGAUGUGUUUUCUUUACUAUUAUAUAUUACCCCUUGCUGCUGUUGCGGUUCUUGUUUUCU